GACAGAGGGUGCAAACGUUGUUCGGAAUUACUGGGCGUAAAGCGCGUGUAGGCGGCCAUCUAAGUCGGGCGUGAAAUCCCACGGCUCAACCGUGGAAGUGCACUCGAAACUGGAUGGCUAGAGUCCUGGAGAGGAAGGUGGAAUGCUUGGUGUAGAGGUGAAAUUCGUAGAUAUCAAGCGGAACACCGGUGGCGAAGGCGGCCUUCUGGACAGCGACUGACGCUGAGACGCGAAAGCGUGGGGAGCAAACAGG
rnacentral:rRNA from 1 species